GACGGAGGAUGCAAGUGUUAUCCGGAAUCACUGGGCGUAAAGCGUCUGUAGGUGGUUCGAAAAGUCCACUGUUAAAAAUUGACGGCUUAACUUCGAAAGAUGCCGUGGAAACUUUCAAACUAGAGUAUGGUAGGGGUAGAGGGAAUUUCCGAGUGGAGCGGUGAAAUGCGUAGAUAUUGGAAAGACCACCGAUGGCGAAGGCACUCUACUGGGCCAUUACUGACACUGAGAGACGAAAGCUAGGGGAGCAAAUGGG
rnacentral:rRNA from 1 species